GACGAACGCUGGCGGCGUGCCUAAUACAUGCAAGUCGAACGCAGUGGGGACGGGUGAGUAACACGGGGGUAACCUCCCAUCAGAGGGGAGGACACAUGGAAACAGGUGCUAAACCGAUACUGAUGGAUGGACCCGCGGUGCAUUAGCUAGUUGGUGAGGUAACGGCUGACCAAGGCCACGAUGCAUAGCCGGCCUGGUAGGGUGUUCGGCCACACUGGGACUGAGACACGGCCCAGCAUCCUCCGGAAGGCAGCAGUAGGGAAUCUUCGGCAAUUGACGAAAGUCUGACCGAGCAACGCCGCGUGAGUGAAGAAGGUUUUCGGAUCGUAAAACUCUGUUGUUUGAGAAGCGGUAUCUAACCAGAAAGCCACGGCUAACUACGUGCCAGCAGCCGCGGUAAUAC
rnacentral:rRNA from 1 species